rnacentral:rRNA from 1 species
CCCUUAGACGUCCUGGGCCGCACGCGCGUUACACUGAUGCAUUCAACGAGCUUGUAACCUUGGCCGAGAGGCCUGGGCAAUCUUGUUAACGUGCAUCGUGGUAGGGAUAGAUUAUUGAAAUUAUUAAUCUUGAACGAGGAAUUCCUAGUAAACGCAGAUCAUCAAUCUGCAUUGACUACGUCCCUGCCCUUUGUACACACCGCCCGUCGCUCCUACCGAUUGAGUGGUCCGGUGAGGCUUUGGGAUCUGAGCGGAAAGAGCGUUUCGCUGUUUCUGCUCGGAAAACUCAGUCGAACCUUAUCAUUUAGAGGAAGGAGAAGUCGUAACA